CGGGGGGGGCAAGCGUUGUUCGGAAUUACUGGGCGUAAAGGGCUCGUAGGCGGCCAACUAAGUCAGACGUGAAAUCCCUCGGCUUAACCGGGGAACUGCGUCUGAUACUGGAUGGCUUGAGGUUGGGAGAGGGAUGCGGAAUUCCAGGUGUAGCGGUGAAAUGCGUAGAUAUCUGGAGGAACACCGGUGGCGAAGGCGGCAUCCUGGACCAAUUCUGACGCUGAGGAGCGAAAGCCAGGGGAGCAAACGGG
rnacentral:rRNA from 1 species